rnacentral:rRNA from 2 species
UCACUGGGCCGCAACUGACGCUGAGGAGCGAAAGCAUGGGGAGCGAACAGGAUUAGAUACCCUGGUAGUCCAUGCCGUAAACGUUGGGCACUAGGUGUGGGGCUCAUUCCACGAGUUCCGUGCCGCAGCUAACGCAUUAAGUGCCCCGCCUGGGGAGUACGGCCGCAAGGCUAAAACUCAAAGGAAUUGACGGGGGCCCGCACAAGCGGCGGAGCAUGCGGAUUAAUUCGAUGCAACGCGAAGAACCUUACCAAGGCUUGACAUGCACCGGAACUGCUCAGAGAUGGGUAGGUCUUCGGACUGGUGCACAGGUGGUGCAUGGUUGUCGUCAGCUCGUGUCGUGAGAUGUUGGGUUAAGUCCCGCAACGAGCGCAACCCUCGUCCUAUGUUGCCAGCACGUUAUGGUGGGGACUCAUAGGAGACUGCCGGGGUCAACUCGGAGGAAGGUGGGGAUGACGUCAAAUCAUCAUGCCCCUUAUGUCUUGGGCUUCACGCAUGCUACAAUGGCCGGUACAAAGGGCUGCGAUACCGCGAGGUGGAGCGAAUCCCAAAAAGCCGGUCUCAGUUCGGAUUGGGGUCUGCAACUCGACCCCAUGAAGUCGGAGUCGCUAGUAAUCGCAGAUCAGCA